UCUAUCAACAUGAAGCAUGGAGUUGAAUAGGAGCAUUUAAUAAAGUGACUUGUAUGUGAUGGACAACAGGAUAAAGAUCAGAGCAGAGGGGCAGUUUUCCAAUAUAUUAAUCUGUCACCAGAGCUCCACGUGAAGUCCUCUGCUGUUCCUUCAUCCGACCGGCAGUGCGACAGAAAGGCCUGGAGCUGGUCGGGGCCAACCCCAGGCCUGAGUGCUGGGUGCGCAAGCUAUCGCUGCAAGACUGGCAGAUUGUCGAUAAAUGCAGUAAACAACAGGCUGCUUUCUUUCAGAACAAGUUAUAUGAAGUCGUCAUCCAUUUGGCGACCCAAAUGCUGCAAAGCUGAGCUGUAGUUUGGUCUUUUUACCUGCAUGGCAGAGUAAGAUGAAUGAGACCUCAGGCUGCACAAUUACAUGACCUGGCUCUUCUGGGUUUUCUCAGAGCACAGCACUACACAUCAGCCCUGGUUACAUGGUAUACCCGACAGGGAUAUCUGAUGCAGUUGCAUUCCCUGAACUACUGGGUGCUCCAGCAGCGGGAGCUGUCUGGGAUGCAGCCACCUUAUUGUCAUCAGCCACCCAAAUACCUUCAAAAAUCAGUCUUCUGGUGGACUCUGCCUUGCUUUACCAUGCCAAUAAAGACAUAGAUGGACCCAUAUUGGUGAUCAAAGGUUCCCAGGAAGCAGAGCAACGCAGUGAAACUGAAAUCAUUAUGUUGACUGAAUUCGUUACCACUGGAUUCGCCCCACCAUGAAAUAGCACUGUGCAGCCAAUUGGGAUUCAUGGUCACAGCCCUUUAUUGGAUCAUCAGGGUUUAUAGUCCAUAACAAAUACAAAUACAGAAAGGAACAAUAACAGUAUGAUACAUCUGACCUAUUAUCCCACCUUACCAGAAUCUGUAUCGUGAGUACCGAAAUAGGACCAGCUGAAUGCUUUCUGAGGGCUUUCUGUUAUACAGACAAAUGGGAGAGUCAUGUAUGAAAUGGAAGCCAUGUCUCCAAAUGCAGCGCUCUUGGUGCGGUCUUUAAUGACUAAAAGCCAUCCUUAUGCAUACAACAUGUCGUUUGUGAUUUUUUAAAAUAGUGGUUUGUAGGGAACCUUGGGAGCUUUGCUUGAAGCAUGUGAACACUGCAGAAAUAUUUGGUUAGAGAAGUAACUGAAGUCGGUUCUGCAGAAUACUUCAGAAGAAAUCUGAAAUCCCAGCAGAUCACCCCUUUCAGAGAAGCAAACAUGCCUGUCUACCUGCCACCAAAAUGCGAGAGCGAACUCCAGCGUAAAAAUACACAGUUGGCACAACCUCUGUUUGCAAGUCAGCCACUCUGUGCUACACAACAUGGCUGAUCCUUAUAUAUUUUGUGAAUCUAAUGUCAUUUUUGUCAAUCUUUUGAAACAUAUGGAAGGUCUCUGUAGUAGAGAGAUUUAAUCUACCUAUGACACUUUCACAGUUAUCUGUUCAGGUUAAUCUUGGGAGGCUGGUAAUAGAUAUAGAAUGUUAGAUCAAUUCUUUCUGUACUCCUAUGGUAAAAUAA